rnacentral:tRNA from 1 species
UGGCUUAUAGCUCAAUGGAUAAGAAUGCUACGCUACGAACGUAGAGAUAAAAGUUCGACUCUUUUUAAGCCAA